GAAUGCUCCGAUUUGGGGUCUCCGGGAAUGCUCCGGAUACCUCGGGAUGAGCCGCUUUGGGGUGCCCUGGGAUGCCCCAGUCCGGGAUUCCCAGGGAUUCUCUGCUUUGGGGUGCCCGGGAAUGUUUUGGAUACCUGGGAAUGCUUUGGAUACCUGGGAAUGCUCUGGUUUGGGGUUCCCACAGGUUCCGGUUUGGGGUUCCCCUGGAAUGCUCCGGUUGGGGAUUCCCAGGGAUGCUCCCAUUUGGGAUCCUCAGUUUGGGGUCCCCAGGGAAGCCUCGGUCUGGGAUUCCCAGGGAUGCUCCGCCUUGGGGUCUCCGGGAAUGCUCCGGAUACCUCGGGAUGAGCCGCUUUGGGGUGCCCUGGGAUGUCCCAGUCCGGGAUUCCCAGGGAUUCUCUGCUUUGGGGUGCCCGGGAAUGUUUUGGAUACCUGGGAAUGCUCUGGUUUGGGGCUCCCACAGGUUCCGGUUUGGGGUUCCCCUGGAGUGCUCCGGUUGGGGAUUCCCAGGGAUGCUCCCAUUUUGGGAUCCUCAGUUUGGGGUCCCCAGGGAAGCCCCGGUCUGGGAUUCCCAUUUGGGAUGCUCCGAUUUGGGGUCCCCAGGGAAGCCCCGGUCUGGGAUUCCCAGGGAUGUUCCGAUUUGGGGUCCCCAGGGAGGCCUCAGUUUGGGGUCACCGGAGACACUCCGGAUACCUGGGAACGCUCCGGAUUGGGAUCCCCGGGAAAGCUUUGGAUACCCCGGAAUGCUCCGAUUUGGGGUCCCCAGGGAUGCUCCGGAUACCUCGGGAUGAGCCGCUUUGGGGUGCCCUGGGAUGUCCCAGUCCGGGAUUCCCAGGGAUUCUCUGCUUUGGGGUGCCCGGGAAUGUUUUGGAUACCUGGGAAUGCUUUGGAUACCUGGGAAUGCUCUGGUUUGGGGUUCCCACAGGUUCCGGUUUGGGGUUCCCCUGGAAUGCUCCGGUUGGGGAUUCCCAGGGAUGCUCCCAUUUUGGGAUCCUCAGUUUGGGGUCCCCAGGGAAGCCCCGGUCUGGGAUUCCCAGGGAUGCUCCGCCUUGGGGUCUCCGGGAAUGCUCCGGAUACCUCGGGAUGAGCCGCUUUGGGGUGCCCUGGGAUGUCCCAGUCCGGGAUUCCCAGGGAUUCUCUGCUUUGGGGUGCCCGGGAAUGUUUUGGAUACCUGGGAAUGCUCUGGUUUGGGGCUCCCACAGGUUCCGGUUUGGGGUUCCCCUGGAGUGCUCCGGUUGGGGAUUCCCAGGGAUGCUCCCAUUUUGGGAUCCUCAGUUUGGGGUCCCCAGGGAAGCCCCGGUCUGGGAUUCCCAUUUGGGAUGCUCCGAUUUGGGGUCCCCAGGGAAGCCCCGGUCUGGGAUUCCCAGGGAUGCUCCGAUUUGGGGUCCCCGGGGGUGCUCAGGGUCCCCAGGGAUGCUCCGAUUUGGGGUCCCCAGGGAUGCUCCGGUUUGGGAUCCCCAGGGAUGCCCCAUUUGGGGUCCCCAGGGAUGCCCCAUUUGGGGUCCCAGGGAUGCUUCACUUUGGGAUCCCCAGGGAUGCCCCAUUUGGGGUCCCCAGAGAUGCCCCAUUUGGGGUCCCAGAGAUGCCCCAUUUGGGGUCCCAGGGAUGCCCCAUUCGGGAUCCCCAGGGAUGCCCCAUUUGGGGUCCCAGGGAUGCCCCAUUUGGGGUCCCCAGGGAUGCCCCAUUUGGGGUCCCAGGGAUGCUUCACUUUGGGAUCCCCAGGGAUGCCCCAUUCGGGAUCCCCAGGGAUGCCCCAUUUGGGGUCCCAGGGAUGCCCCAUUUGGGGUCCCCAGGGAUGCCCCAUUUGGGGUCCCAGGGAUGCUUCACUUUGGGAUCCCCAGGGAUGCCCCAUUUGGGGUCCCCAGGGAUGCCCCAUUUGGGGUCCCAGAGAUGCCCCAUUUGGGGUCCCAGGGAUGCCCCAUUUGGGGUCCCCAGGGAUGCCCCAUUUGGGGUCCCCAGGGAUGCCCCAUUUGGGGUCCCCAGGGAUGCCCCAUUUGGGGUCCCCAGGGAUGCCCCAUUUGGGGACAGGGGCUGCAGGAGCCCCCUCUGCACCCCCCGGGCAGGAGCAGCGGCAGGGAGGGGACACAGGGGACGCAUUUUGGGGUCAUUUCCCGCCCUCCCACCCCUCACCCCGUUCCUCUCCCCCCUAAGGCAGCCCCAAACCCCUCUAUGGGGCCGCGGAAAGGGAUCCCAAUCCUUCCCUUCCCCUUUCACCCCCUGUUCCCUCUCACCCUUUUGUGGUUUUGUGGGUUUUUCUCUAUUUAG
rnacentral:lncRNA from 1 species